GGACUCGCACAAGCGGUGGAGCAUGCGGUUUAAUUCGAUGCAACGCGAAGAACCUUACCAGGUCUUGACAUCCCGUUGACUGGGCUAGAGAUAGUCCUUCCCUUCGGGGCAACGGAGACAGGUGGUGCAUGGUUGUCGUCAGCUCGUGUCGUGAGAUGUUGGGUUAAGUCCCACAACGAGCGCAACCCUUAUCAUUAGUUGCUAACAUUAAGUUGAGAACUCUAAUGAGACCGCCGGUGAUAAACCGGAUGAAGGUGGGGAUGACGUCAAAUCAUCAUGCCCCUUAUGACCUGGGCUACACGCGUGCUACAAUGGCUAGUACAAAGAGUCGCAAUACCGUGAGGUGGAGCUAAUCUCAUAAAACUAGUCUCAGUUCGGAUUGUAGUCUGCAACUCGACUACAUGAAGUUGGAAUCGCUAGUAAUCGCAAAUCAGCAUGUUGCGGUGAAUACGUUCUCGAGUCUU
rnacentral:rRNA from 1 species